rnacentral:tRNA from 1 species
AAAAAUUAAGCUUUUAUAGCAUUUCACUUACACUGAAAAUAACCUAAAAUAAUAUCUUUA